UGCCGAAUCAUGCAAAGGGGUGGUAUGGUGGUAUACAUACACGCACAAAAGUAGCUAAUUCGUGUGUGAAAAGUACUAGCAUAUUUGCAAGAUCCAGCUGUGAUGAUUUUUUCCUAGACAAUCGAGCUGUGAUGAUACAAAACGGCGAUAGAGAGGACGGGGGACCAAUAGGUGCGAUACGUACGGGGCAACGUCCACGGCGCACGGUAACGACGGCGCAUGUGGAGUGUACCGUUGGUACAUAAUAUGAAUCGCGGUACGUGACGGAGAUGGACACAAGUUCCCUCAAGACAACGGCCUACACAUAGCGGAGGAAAAUAAAUGCCAGCUCGGGGCCACCACAAAGGCCGAGCCCCCAACCCCUACCCCGGCCCUUCAUUUCGACUGAUCUACAUCGCCAUCAGCAAAGACGAGAGGUCAUGGCGACGGCGGAGGAGGUCGGCAAUGGACUGGAGUUCUUAUCAGAUCUGGUGGAUAGGUUCCCCUUGCUGGAUCUUGCAUCAACCGAUUUCAACUCAGCAGGUGAGCCAGAUACUUGUUUUACACAGUCAGCUGUUGAAUCGAGCAUGGGAGAUAUUGGCGAUGCGCCGCUUACAAUCCAGGUCGCCGAGAACAACGGCUGUGAGGAACUGAGCUUGUCGGCGGCCGAUUCACAACAAUCAACAGGAAAAGAUGACCGUCAGGCCCCCGGGUGGACAAAAAGGGUUCAUAUUGGGCGAGCCCCUCUGGAAGAGUAUGUGCCCUUGAGAAAACAUUAAGAGGAUAUGCGGAAAAGAGAACAGAUACCGUUCUAGUACCAGCUGUUGGAUACAACUUCGGUUCAUUGGGAGAGGCGUACGACUCCUAUAACCUAUAUUCGUGGGAAAUUGGGUUGGGAAUAAGAUACGGAAAAAGUAGGCUCAACGUCGAGAGAACCAAAUGCAUGCAAGAGAUAGUAUGUGGAUGCUCGGUGAGUUCGAAAUAGAUUUAUUAUCCAGUUUGCUGCAAUGGUUUCGUGAAAAUGCACUGAACAAUUUAAAAGGAUAUGUGCCAGCAAGCUGCCCCAUGCACAUAUGAAGGCAAUAUAUGAGGUUUCUUUUCGAUCGAGAGGCGGAUGAUAACUAUGAAGAGCGACGAACAAAGAUAGUGAACACACCACCGGAGUUCCACGCUAGCAAGAUCUACACUCGAGCUAUGUUUGAGAAUUUUGGUGAGAUCCUGUAUGAAGCAGGACAAUACAGUAGAAGUUAAAAAUGGUUCGAAAUAUUACUUACACCGGUACCACCCAGAGAGAUACGAGAAGUGGUGCAGAGUACUGUACAUACUACAUAGUGCAUGUCGUCGCUGAGGAUGAAGAACUCUCAUGUGAAUGUGGUAACUUCAAGCGCACAGGACUGUAUGCUGCCAUUCAGUUAAGGUUCUUGAUUUCUUGGGUAUAGACAAAAUUCCAUCAAAGCAUAUCCUCAAAAGGUGGACAAAAGAUGCAAGAGAUAUACUUCCAACCCGCUUGUCACACCUACAAAGAGACAAGAUUUCAGCCAAUUCCAUAACAUUCAGACAUUCAAAUUUUUAUACACAUGCUUUAGAGGUUGUAAAACUUGGUGAUGCAAAUCCAAUUGCAUAUGAUUGUGCGAUGGAACUUCUUAGGGUAGCAAUGGAUAAACUGACCUAUUUAGCUGCUGAGCAUGAUGGUUUGGGUUUGCAACACAGAAUUGAAAUGAAGAAGACAAAAGGUACAGAAUUGACUCUCUUCCAAGGAGCACAACAUGGAUACAUGAGCGAUGAUGAAGGUAGCGCCGUCAAAAAUUUCAUUGGAUUAUCAGCUCCAGAACAGAAACGCAAGGCCGGUCAACCAACAAACAGCAGAGACAAGCCUCCAUAUGAUGACCAGUCUGCAAAGAGCAAAAAAAUUAAGGUCACAUCACAAGUUGAUACAGGUAUUGGAUGCAGUACAAGCAAACGAACACGGUUCUGCACUAUAUGUCGUGGCCCUAUUCACAAGAGCACAACGUGUCCGCUAAGAGGGGACACUCCUCAAAAGAAAAGGAAAGAAUCAAAAUGCUCAAUCUGCGGAGUGGGAGGGCAUCGAAAGAACACCUGCACAUGGAAAGCAACCUACUCAUGAUCCUGUUAUCGAACCAUGAGUAAUCUAUACAAGCAGCUAGCAUAUUUACCCUGUAUCCUGACUGCUCUCUACCAUGCACCUGAAAUACUUAUGUACUGUCAUCUUAGUAAUACUAGAAGAACGCCCGUGCGUUGCAACGGGGCCACAUUAA